GUAUGCACACACUAGACAUGCAUACCUUUUAUUUAACUAGGCAAGUCAGUUAAGAACAAAUUCUUAUUUUCAAUGAAGGCCUAGGAACAGUGGGAUAACUGCCUUAUUCAGGGGCAGAACGACAGAUUUUUACCUCGUCACCUCGGGGAUUCGAUCUUGCAACCUUUCAGUUACUAGUCCAAUGCUCUAACCACUAGGCUACCUGCCGCCCCACUUGACAUGCAUAUGGCAUAUAAACACACGAGACGAUGCGUACGGUAUGUAAACACACGAGACGAUGCGUACGGUAUGUAAACACACGAGACGAUGCGUACGGUAUGUAAACACACGAGACGAUGCGUACGGUAUGUAAACACACGAGACGAUGCGUACUGUAUGUAAACACACGAGACGAUGCGUACUGUAUGUAAACACACGAGACGAUGCGUACUGUAUGUAAACACACGAGACGAUGCGUACGGUAUGUAAACACACGAGACGACGCGUACGGUAUGUAAACACACGAGACGACGCGUACGGUAUGCAAACACACGAGACGAUGCGUACGGUAUGUAAACACACGAGACGAUGCGUACGGUAUGUAAACACACGAGACGAUGCGUACUGUAUGUAAACACACGAGACGAUGCGUACGGUAUGUAAACACACGAGACGAUGCGUACGGUAUGUAAACACACGAGACGAUGCGUACGGUAUGUAAACACACGAGACGAUGCGUACUGUAUGUAAACACACGAGACGAUGCGUACUGUAUGUAAACACACGAGACGAUGCGUACUGUAUGUAAACACACGAGACGAUGCGUACGGUAUGUAAACACACGAGACGAUGCGUACGGUAUGUAAACACACGAGACGAUGCGUACUGUAUGUAAACACACGAGACGAUGCGUACGGUAUGUAAACACACGAGACGAUGCGUACGGUAUGUAAACACACGAGACGAUGCGUACGGUAUGUAAACACACGAGACGAUGCGUACGGUAUGUAAACACACGAGACGAUGCGUACGGUAUGUAAACACACGAGACGCUGCUGCGUAAGGUAUGUAAACACGCACACAUUCUGUACAGACGUGCACUUUACUGAACUCUACAGAACUAUGCACUGCUUUACUGAACUAUGCACUGCUUUACUGAACUCUACAGAACUAUGCACUGCUUUACUGAACUAUGCACUGCUUUACUGAACUCUACAGAACUAUGCACUGCUUUACUGAACUCUACAGAACUAUGCACUGCUUUACUGCACUCUACAGAACUAUGCACAGCUUUACUGAACUCUACAGAACUAUGCACUGCUUUACAGAACUAUGCACUGCUUUACAGAACUAUGCACUGCUUUACAGAACUAUGCACUGCUUUACUGAACUAUGCACUGCUUUACUGAACUAUGCACUGCUUUACUGAACUAUGCACUGCUUUACUGAACUAUGCACUGCUUUACUGAACUAUGCACUGCUUUACUGAACUAUGCACUGCUUUACUGAACUAUGCACUGCUUUACUGAACUAUGCACUGCUUUACUGAACUAUGCACGGGCGACAAUGCCUGACAGGAACAGCAGCGGGCGACAAUGCCUCCUAGGGACGGCAUGGUUGAGCGCCAGUGACUCAGCCCCUGUAAUAGGGUUUGAGGCAGAGAAUCCCAGUGGAGAGAGGGGAUCCGGCGAGAGAGCAAGGGCGGUUCGUUGCUCCAUAGCCUUUCCUUUCACCUUCACACUCCUGGGCCAGACUACACUCAACCAUUUGACCUACUGAAGAGAUGAGUCUUCAAUAAAGACUUAAAGGUAGAGACCGAGUCUGCGUCCCUCACAUGGGUAGGCAGACCAUUCCAUAAAAAUGAAGCUCUAUAGGAGAAAGCCCUGCCUCCAGCUGUUUGCUUAGAAAUUCUUGGUACAAUUAGGAGGCCUGCGUCUUGUGAUUGUAGCGUACGUGUAGGUAUGUACGGCAGGAUGGGUAGGAGCAAGCCUAUGUAAUGCUUUGUAGGUUAGCAGUAAAACCUUGCAAUUAGCCUUUGCCUUAACAGGAAGCCAGUGUAGGGAGGCUAGCACUGGAGAGUAAUAUGAUCAGAUUUCUUGGUUCUAGUCAGGAUUCUAGCAGCCGUAUUUAGCACUAAAUUAAGUUUAUGGGUCCAGAGUAACGCCGAGGUCCUUCAGUUUUAUUUGAGACGACUGUACAACCAUCAAGAUUAAUUGUCAGAUUCAAAAGAAGAUCUCUUUGUUUCUUGGGACCUAGAACAAGCAUCUCUGUUUUGUCCGAGUUUAAAAGUAGAAAGUUUGCAGCCAUCCACUUCCUUAUGUCUGAAACACAAGCUUCUCGCGAGGGCAAUUUUGGGGCUUCACCAUGUACAUCUCCUGUCAGUGUUAAAUCCCCCUGAGGCCCACUUUCAGUUCACACAGACACAAUGGAGUUAUAAGAACCCUCUAUUCCGUUGAAUAAAACAACCAUUUGAUGCAAUUACAGCAUUAUAACAUAAUUCUGCUCUCACAGCAGAGUACAGUAAAGCAGUGCAUAGUUCUGUAGAGUUCAGUAAAGCAGUGCAUAGUUCUGUAGAGUUCAGUAAAGCAGUGCAUAGUUCUGUAGAGUUCAGUAAAGCAGUGCAUAGUUCUGUAGAGUUCAGUAAAGCAGUGCAUAGUUCUGUAGAGUUCAGUAAAGCAGUGCAUAGUUCUGUAGAGUUCAGUAAAGCAGUGCAUAGUUCUGUAGAGUUCAGUAAAGCAGUGCAUAGUUCUGUAGAGUUCAGUAAAGCAGUGCAUAGUUCUGUAGAGUUCAGUAAAGCAGUGCAUAGUUCUGUAGAGUUCAGUAAAGCAGUGCAUAGUUCUGUAGAGUUCAGUAAAGCAGUGCA